rnacentral:rRNA from 1 species
CCUACGGGUGGCAGCAGUGAGGAAUAUUGGUCAAUGGACGAGAGUCUGAACCAGCCAAGUAGCGUGAAGGAUGACUGCCCUAUGGGUUGUAAACUUCUUUUAUAUGGGAAUAAAAUGUUCCACGUGUGGGAUUUUGUAUGUACCAUAUGAAUAAGGAUCGGCUAACUCCGUGCCAGCAGCCGCGGUAAUACGGAGGAUCCGAGCGUUAUCCGGAUUUAUUGGGUUUAAAGGGAGCGUAGGUGGAUUGUUAAGUCAGUUGUGAAAGUUUGCGGCUCAACCGUAAAAUUGCAGUUGAAACUGGCAGUCUUGAGUACAGUAGAGUUGGGCGGAAUUCGUGGUGUAGCGGUGAAAUGCUUAGAUAUCACGAAGAACUCCGAUUGCGAAGGCAGUUCACUGGACUGCAACUGACACUGAGGCUCGAAAGUGUGGGUAUCAAACAGGAUUAGAUACCCUUGUAGUC